AGUGAACGCUGGCGGUAGGCCUAACACAUGCAAGUCGAACGGCAGCACAGUAAGAGCUUGCUCUUACGGGUGGCGAGUGGCGGACGGGUGAGGAAUACAGCGGAAUCUACUUUUUCGUGGGGGAUAACGUAGGGAAACUUACGCUAAUACCGCAUACGACCUACGGGUGAAAGCAGCGGAUCUUCGGACCUUGCGCGAUUGAAUGAGCCGAUGUCGGAUUAGCUAGUUGGCGGGGUAAAGGCCCACCAAGGCGACGAUCCGUAGCUGGUCUGAGAGGAUGAUCAGCCACACGGGAACUGAGACACGGUCCAGACUCCUAAGGGAGGCAGCAGUGGGGAAUAUUGGACAAUGGGCGCAAGCCUGAUCCAGCCAUACCGCGUGGGUGAAGAAGGCCUUCGGGUUGUAAAGCCCUUUUGUUGGGAAAGAAAAGCAGCAGGUUAAUACCCCGCUGUUCUGACGGUACCCAAAGAAUAAGCACCGGCUAACUUCGUG
rnacentral:rRNA from 1 species